CCCGCACACCACUCGUCCCCCGCAUGACUUCCCCUCCUCUCUCUCUCCCAGAUCCAUACGCCGCCGCAACCAUCGCCAUCCUCUCCCCUUCCCGCAGAUCCAAAACCACGGCGACGGUCAUGCGGAUCGAAAAGCGAUGGCAGCAGACCUCAUGGAUCCAUCUCCCUCACCCUCUCAGCCCCCACGCACCCAUGCCCGCCACCCCCAACCCUCUCCCUCCCUCUAUGAUCUCGAUCGGCCCUGCUCUCCACCGCCCACCUCGACUUCGCAGGAGAUAGAGGCGUCGCCGCCCAGCAACCAUGGCUGUCUUUCUCGCCGAUGAGCACGGCGCUCCAUCAAUCUGGCCGGACCCGGCACGUGCGUGGCCUGUCUAGGGUCUCCGGCCACUAGGACGGGACAGCGCCAUCGACCCUCGGCUCCGGCGACUGCGACUGGCAGCGGGCGUCUCUCCCAGUCAUCUUGCAGUUUCUGGGAUGAGCGGGAGCACGAAGUGGUUUGGCUGUUCGGCAACUCCGAGUGACCACGGUACAGGGCAGGUGCCAUGGCGGCAGGUACUUGUGUGGUGAGAAGCAACCUUCGGCUGAUCAUCAGGAAAGGCAGCAAGCAUGAUUAUUAGUAUUUCAGUCACGCUGAUGCUCACUGUUGUUGUUGCCCUUUUUAGCUGAAACCCACAAAUACAGUUAGAAUUUGCCUUGAGAUAUCUAUGUGUGAGUGUCAAUACAACUUCUUAAAGGGAAUUAUCCGGGCCUAACUUAUGUGGAUGUAGAUGCAUAUUACUACUACUCAAUAACCUUCAUCUAGUCACCGUUACUGUAUGAAAGAAUUCAUGAACUAGGAUUUUGUUUAAGUAGCUACCGAAUCUGCUUGCUUGGUUAUGGCAGACAUACAUGUCUUACAAAUUCGUUAUUCUUGUUUGAAGCUAAGCUAGGCUACUGCAGUUCCAGCAAAAAACAGGGGAGCCGCUCUUUUUGUUCUUCACUAAUAAAUUCUUGUUUGAAUGCAUAUCCUGGGGGUGGUGAAGCUGGGAGCCUUUCCUCCCCAUAAAAAUACUUUGCUCUUCAUUAUGAGCAGUGCCCUUAUAUGAUUAGCUGCUAGGAGUGUUUAUAUACUUGAUCACCACACCUCUACUGUUCUGGUUACUUUUGCUUUCUUCUAUGUAGUUGUCCAGGGCAUAACAGUUUUAUGUGUGGCUUGUUAUUUUGUUACCAGCCUACUUUCUUGUGCUCCUGGUCGAGUCUUGUGGAGAAGCAGGGCGAAUCGGGCAUCAUCUCACUUGUGCCUCUGUGGUAAGAAUAGAACACCACUCUCACUUGAUGUGCAUGUAUUAGUACAACAAAGCAUUCUUACAUGGUGAUUGUUAGCGACACAACAAUUAUCUUGCAACAUAGCUUGCCAAAUUGCUUGCUUGCUUACUAUAUAACCUGUAUUGCUAAACAUGUUAUCCUACUCCAUGAUGUUGUAUCAUUUGCAAAUACUCCUGGACAUCAGCUCCCAUUAGCUAUAAUCUGUACCUCUAAAAGAGGAGUAUAAACUGGAAUAAUCUGUACUCUAUUAUGCUUGAGACUUGAUCCAAGCCAUAUUAAUUGUUGCCAGUGAUGUUAUUAUCUACUCUAAUGGCUGAUGAAUCUGUACCUGCCAUACCAUGUGGAAUGACUAAUGAAUCUGUACCCGAAUACCAUGUGUAAUGAUUGUUAUUUUUGCAUCAUUUAAACAUUUUUUUCUGCUA